UACGUAGGGUGCGAGCGUUAAUCGGAAUUACUGGGCGUAAAGCGUGCGCAGGCGGUUCGUCGUGUCCGAUGUGAAAGCCCCGGGCUCAACCUGGGAAUGGCAUUGGAAACUAGCGGGCUGGAGUGUGGCAGAGGGGGGUGGAAUUCCACGUGUAGCAGUGAAAUGCGUAGAGAUGUGGAGGAACACCGGUGGCGAAGGCGGUGGUCUGGGCCGGCACUGACGCUGAGGAGCGAAAGCGUGGGGAGCGAACAGG
rnacentral:rRNA from 1 species